rnacentral:rRNA from 1 species
CAGAGGUCCCAAGCGUUGUUCGGAUUCACUGGGCGUAAAGGGUGCGUAGGUGGUGAGGUAAGUCGGAUGUGAAAUCUCCGAGCUCAACUCGGAAAUGGCAUUGGAAACUACCUUGCUCGAGGGUUGGAGGGGGGACUGGAAUGCUUGGUGUAGCAGUGAAAUGCGUAGAUAUCAAGCGGAACACCAGUGGCGAAGGCGAGUCCCUGGACAACUCCUGACACUGAGGCACGAAAGCUAGGGGAGCAAACAGGAUUAGAUACCCUGGUAGUCCUAGCCGUAAACGGUGCAUGUUUGCUGUAAAAGGAAUCGACCCCUUUUGUGGCGUAGCCAACGCGUUAAACAUGCCGCCUGGGAAGUACGGUCGCAAGAUUA